rnacentral:rRNA from 1 species
AUGCGCUCGCUUCGCAAGCUGGAGCAGCAACCGCUCCUGGACAAGCUGCGUGCCCGCCUUGCCUGUUGGAAGGCUAGGCUGCUGACCCUUGCGGGUAGACUGGUGCUUCUCAACUCGGUGCUGUUAGCGUCCACAGUCUACUGGCUGGCUGUGUUUGCCUUGCCACCUUGGGCGCGCAAGGAAAUCGAUCGGUUGCGCCGCGCAUGGCUAUGGCGUGGUGAGUAAACGUGCCAUGGGGGGCACUGCAAAGUGGCAUGGGGGCACGUCUGCCGACCACGGGAGUUGGGUGGUCUGGGCAUCAUCGACUUGGACCGGUUUGGGGUGGCCCUUCGCCCGUGA